rnacentral:rRNA from 1 species
UACAGAGGAGCCAAGCGUUGUCCGGAUUGACUGGGCGUAAAGCGCACGCAGGCGGGGGUGCGCGGGGGGUGGGAAAUCUGGCCGCUUAACGGCCAGGCGCCAUCCCAUACGGCACGCCUGGAGUGAUGCAGAGGUCGAUGGAAUUGCCGGUGUAGUGGUGAAAUGCGUAGAGAUCGGCAGGAACACCCAGGGGGAAACCAGUCGACUGGGCAUCUACUGACGCUGAGGUGCGAGAGCGUGGGGAGCGAACCGG